rnacentral:rRNA from 1 species
CCCUUAGAUGCUCUGGGCCGCACGCGCGCUACACUGGUCGAUGCAACGAGUUUCUUUCCUUGGCCGACAGGCCUGGGCAAUCCUUGAACAUCGAUCGUGAUCGGGAUAGAUUCUUGUAAUUUUUGAUCUUAAACGAGGAAUUCCUAGUAAACGCAAGUCAUCAGCUUGCAUUGAUUACGUCCCUGCCCUUUGUACACACCGCCCGUCGCACCUACCGAUUGAAUGGUCCGGUGAAAUCUCCGGACUGGCGUGAGUCGGAGCAAUCUGACAAACGCCGGAAAGUUGAUUAAACCUUACCAUUUAGAGGAAGGUGAAGUCGUAACA